ACAAGACAGAGAUGUGGAGCGAAACUCAAAAAAGUAAGUCUCAGUUCGGAUUGAAGGCUGAAAUUCGCCUUCAUGAAGCCGGAAUUGCUAGUAAUGGCAGGUCAGCAUACUGCCGUGAAUACGUUCCCGGGCCUUGUACACACCGCCCGUCACACCAUGAGAGUUGGGAAUACCCGAAGCCUGUGAGCUAACGUUAAGAGGCAGCAGUCGAAGGUAGAAUCAAUGAUUGGGGUGAAGUCGUAACAAGGUACC
rnacentral:rRNA from 1 species